rnacentral:rRNA from 1 species
UACAGAGGGUGCAAGCGUUAAUCGGAAUUACUGGGCGUAAAGCGCGCGUAGGUGGCCAAUUAAGUCAAAUGUGAAAUCCCCGAGCUUAACUUGGGAAUUGCAUUCGAUACUGGUUGGCUAGAGUAUGGGAGAGGAUGGUAGAAUUCCAGGUGUAGCGGUGAAAUGCGUAGAGAUCUGGAGGAAUACCGAUGGCGAAGGCAGCCAUCUGGCCUAAUACUGACACUGAGGUGCGAAAGCAUGGGGAGCAAACAGG